AGUACACCGACUGAGCCAGGGGAUCUUGGUGGUGUCCCAGCAGGGAAAGGGCCAAAUGCCCACUCUCAUGAGUCACGGGAUACCGAGUGCGAGGAGAGAAGUGGCAGAGCGCAGGUGGAAGCAUGGAGGUGGUGGAGGGAAGGCACAGCUUCAGCAUCAGAAAAAAACUGGAAAGUCACUGUGAUUUUGGAAAGGAUAAGAUUGUAAUAAGGGCCUCUCUCCACUGCCCCAGGCCCCUGGACCAGAGGGCACCCCGUGGCCAAGACAUCUCCUGGGAGCCACUGUCCAAAGAGAUGCUGCCUCCACUUCUAUCACUCCAGACCCCAGGGGCCCCUGAGAGAUGCCUUUGGAAACAGAGCUUUUUAACACGCAAAGAACACAUCACUGUCCUACUCAACAGCCCUCAAUGACUGCCAUCCACUUGGGAAAAAUCUGAACUUCUUGGUCUCCAAGACUUCAGCUGGCCUUACCCAGACUCUGUUUGCCCCAGGUCAAAACAAAGGUCUUGCCACAGGGCCUUUGCACAAACCAUUCCUUCUCUGCUAAAUGUUCUCACCCCAACUGUCCCCUGGAUAUGAGUCACAAGUCGGGGAUGCUUUCUCUGCUGUCCUAAUCCAAAAGGAGUCUCCCCCAUCAUUCUCCCUUGGAGCCUGUUUCUUCCUUUGCACUCACAGUUACAAUUACACCUUCAUUUCAUCAUUUAUUUGCCAAAUGUCUCCCCGUGAGGGUAGAGGCCAAACCUGUUUCAUUCACUGCUGCAGCCUCUGUUCCUAGUUUAGUGCCAGACACUCAGGAGGAUGUGUGCACACAGAAAAUAUAUGAUGUUAUUUUGCCACUGUUUAGACAGAGGGGACAACUUCAGAAUCAGGGGGGCCCUCUGAUUCUCCUGCAGAUGCAGUGGGAGCAGCUGGGAGCCACCCAGACUGUAAGCUCAUCUUCUCUGCCAUGCCCCCAACACCUCUCUCUGUGCCAAACAUCAGUAAAUAUACAUCGUAUGAUUGGAUAAAGAGGUGACGGGAGGUGGUCACCACAAAGCCCCUUUGGACCAGACUCUAAGUUCAUUGUCAUCCAGGCCUUCAGCAGUCCUCCUGGGGCGGGGGGGGGGGGGGGUCCCACUGAGGCCUCUGCCCCUUUAACCUUAUCUAAAACCUCCCCAGCUCAGCUCGCUUUGCUCCAAGCCCCAGCCCUCCUCACUGUUCUCGAGCAAGCCACCACACCGCCACCUCAGGACUUUGCACUCACUGUUUCUUCUUCCAGAAAUGUUCAUUCCUGCAGAUGCCUGCAUGCUUUUCUCCUUUGUCUUUCCAAUUCUGCUCACACUCUCACCAGAGCCCUUCCCCACUAAUCUAAACAAAACUGUCCCCUUUAUCGCUCAUUUUUUCUUUAGUGCACUCAUCUGCAUGUAUCCAUUUCUUUUAUCCAUUUAUUGCUUGUCUCUUUCGCCUGAAAGGUCAGCUCCACAAGGGCAGCAAUCCGGGUCUGAUUUCUUCACCAUUGAAUCUCUAGCACUUAGAAUGGAGCCUGGUGCAUAGUAGGUGUUCAAUAAAUAUGUGUUUAAUGGAUGGAUGAACCUGCAUGACUGGGGAGGGGAGCCCACCAACAGCCUCAGCUGCCACGAUGAUUCCUUUUUGCCCACGUCUGGAGAGUGAUUUUGCCUGGAUGCAUGUGGGGUCCUUGCAGCCUCCAAGCCACAGACGUCUCCUCUCUUAUGCUGUGUGGGUUCCUCCCACAGGACUGAGCCCCUGCCUUCACCUACUCACUGGUUAUGCUGCUUCAUAUCCUAAUUGCCUGCUGCUCAGGGGCUCUGACCCCUGUCCAGCUCCUGCCAAUCCCCUCUCUUUGUGGGCGUGGGUCUGUUAUAUUCCCCAACUCCCAGCUGCUGGCCAAGGACCUUCUGUCAGGGACAAGGGGCCCAUAAA